GACGAACGCUGGCGGCGUGCUUAACACAUGCAAGUCGAACGCUGAAGCUCAGCUUUUGUUGGGUGGAUGAGUGGCGAACGGGUGAGUAACACGUGAGUAACCUGCCCCCUUCUUUGGGAUAACGCCCGGAAACGGGUGCUAAUACUGGAUAUUCACUGGUCUUCGCAUGGGGGUUGGUGGAAAGGGUUUUUCUGGUGGGGGAUGGGCUCGCGGCCUAUCAGCUUGUUGGUGGGGUGAUGGCCUACCAAGGCUUUGACGGGUAGCCGGCCUGAGAGGGUGACCGGUCACAUUGGGGCUGAGAUACGGCCCAGGCUCCUACGGGAGGCAGCAGUGGGGAAUAUUGCACAAUGGGCGCAAGCCUGAUGCAGCGACGCCGCGUGAGGGAUGGAGGCCUUCGGGUUGUGAACCUCUUUCGCUCAUGGUCAAGCCGCAACAAUGGUUGUGGUGAGGGUAGUGGGUAAAGAAGCGCCGGCUAACUACGUG
rnacentral:rRNA from 1 species